CGUUGUGGUGUAGUAGUAAAAAUUUACGGCUCUCACCCGUAAGGCCCGGGUUCGAUUCCCGGGGCAACGG
rnacentral:tRNA from 1 species